GACGAACGCUGGCGGCGUGCUUAACACAUGCAAGUCGAACGGAAAGGCCCUGCUUUUGUGGGGUGCUCGAGUGGCGAACGGGUGAGUAACACGUGAGUAACCUGCCCUUGACUUUGGGAUAACUUCAGGAAACUGGGGCUAAUACCGGAUAGGAGCUCCUGCUGCAUGGUGGGGGUUGGAAAGUUUCGGCGGUUGGGGAUGGACUCGCGGCUUAUCAGCUUGUUGGUGGGGUAGUGGCUUACCAAGGCUUUGACGGGUAGCCGGCCUGAGAGGGUGACCGGCGACAUUGGGACUGAGAGACGGCGCAGAGUCGUACGGGAGGCAGCAGGGGGGAGUAUUGCACAAUGGGCGGAAGCGUGAUGAAAAAACGCCGCGUGCGGGAUGAAGGCCUUGGGGGUGGAAACCGCUGUAGCCUGUGACGAAGCGGGAGUGACGGUAAUGGGAAAAGAAGCGCCGGCUAACUACGUG
rnacentral:rRNA from 1 species